UACGGGGGGAGCAAGCGUUGUUCGGAUUUACUGGGCGUAAAGGGCGCGUAGGCGGCCAACUAAGUCAGACGUGAAAUCCCUCGGCUCAACCGGGGAACUGCGUCUGAUACUGGAUGGCUUGAAUUCGGGAGAGGGAUGCGGAAUUCCAGGUGUAGCGGUGAAAUGCGUAGAUAUCUGGAGGAACACCGGUGGCGAAGGCGGCAUCCUGGACCGAGAUUGACGCUGAUGCGCGAAAGCGUGGGGAGCGAACAGG
rnacentral:rRNA from 1 species